CCAGCUUUUUCACCAGCAAUUUCUCCAAGGGUGUUCCCUGUUUAAAGCAUUAAGGAAAAGGAAAGAAACUAAAUGAGUUCGGGAAGCUAGAGACGGGAAUAUAAUAGGUGAAAAUCACACUUCACCCCCUUGAGCCCAUAUUGGAGAAUGCAUUUUAGUCUUGUGCUCAGAUUGCAGCUUGGUGUGAAGACUUAACUUUCCAUUAGGCUCCUCAUUUAUUUGAAAACAAUUGUCACAAGCAGGUCAUUCCUUCUGAUAUAUCAAUACCAGACAAGGAAAUCUUGCCUUGUGCAUGUGGAAUAUGGAAAAUUUAGCCUGAAAACUACCUAGAGUAUGAAUUAAACUAAUCUCAUGGAAGCAACAGUUCAAACAUUUUUCUGAUUGUCUACUAUUUGUCUAGUGCAUAG
rnacentral:lncRNA from 1 species